AUACGUAGGGGGCGAGCGUUGUCCGGAAUAAUUGGGCGUAAAGGGCGCGUAGGCGGCCUGUUAAGUCUGGAGUGAAAGUCCUGUUUUCAAGAUGGAAUUGCUUUGGAUACUGAUGGGCUUGAGUGCAGGAGAGGUUAUCGGAAUUCCCGGUGUAGCGGUGAAAUGCGUAGAGAUCGGGAGGAACACCAGUGGCGAAGGCGGGUAACUGGACUGCAACUGACGCUGAGGCGCGAAAGUGUGGGGAGCAAACAGGAUUAGAUACCCUGGUAGUCCACACUGUAAACGAUGAAUGCUAGGUGUAAGAGGUAUCGACCCCUUUUGUGCCGGAGUUAACACAACAAGCAUUCCGCCUGGGGAGUACGGCCGCAAGGUUGAAACUCAAAGGAAUUGACGGGG
rnacentral:rRNA from 1 species